rnacentral:rRNA from 1 species
CCUACGGGAGGCAGCAGUAGGGAAUCUUCCACAAUGGGCGAAAGCCUGAUGGAGCAACGCCGCGUGGGUGAAGAAGGUCUUCGGAUCGUAAAACCCUGUUGUUAGAGAAGAAAGUGCGUGAGAGUAACUGUUCACGUUUCGACGGUAUCUAACCAGAAAGCCACGGCUAACUACGUGCCAGCAGCCGCGGUAAUACGUAGGUGGCAAGCGUUAUCCGGAUUGAUUGGGCGUAAAGGGAACGCAGGCGGUCUUUUAAGUCUGAUGUGAAAGCCUUCGGCUUAACCGGAGUAGUGCAUUGGAAACUGGGAGACUUGAGUGCAGAAGAGGAGAGUGGAACUCCAGGUGUAGCGGUGAAAUGCGUAGAUAUAUGGAAGAACACCAGUGGCGAAAGCGGCUCUCUGGUCUGUAACUGACGCUGAGGUUCGAAAGCGUGGGUAGCAAACAGGAUUAGAUACCCUGGUAGUC